rnacentral:rRNA from 1 species
UACGUAGGGUGCGAGCGUUAAUCGGAAUUACUGGGCGUAAAGCGCACGUAGGCGGAUACUUAAGUCAGGGGUGAAAUCCCGGGGCUCAACCCCGGAACUGCCUUUGAUACUGGGUAUCUCGAGUCCGGAAGAGGUGAGUGGAAUUCCGAGUGUAGAGGUGAAAUUCGUAGAUAUUCGGAGGAACACCAGUGGCGAAGGCGGCUCACUGGUCCGGUACUGACGCUGAGGUGCGAAAGCGUGGGGAGCAAACGGG